rnacentral:rRNA from 1 species
AGAUACCCCACUAUGCCUGGUCCUAAACUCUGACUAAUUACACUCAAAAUCCGCCUGAGAACUACGAGCCAACAGCUUAAAACUCAAGAGACUUGGCGGUGCUCUACACCCACCUAGAGGAGCCUGUUCUAUAAUCGAUAACCCCCGAUCUACCUCACCGCUUCUUGCUUAUCCGCCUAUAUACCGCCGUCGUCAACCCACCCUUUGAAGGAAGUACAGUAGGUUAAAUGAUUUAUCACCAAUACGUCAGGUCAAGGUGUAGCUAAUGAAGUGGAAAGAAAUGGGCUACAUUUUCUAAUUUAGAUCAUACGGAUAAUCACAUGAAAUCUGAUCAGAAGGAGGAUUUAGCAGUAAAAAGAAACCAGCAAGUUUUUUUUAAGCCGGCUCUAGAGCGCGUACAUACCGCCCGUCGCCCUCUUCAACCAUC